ACGGAAGGCAGCAGUGAGGAAUAUUGGUCAAUGGGCGGAAGCCUGAACCAGCCAAGUCGCGUGAAGGAUGAAGGUAUUAUGUAUUGUAAACUUCUUUAGACGUAGAGAAAUAAGAGGCUCGUGAGCCUUGAUGCUAGUAUACGUAGAAUAAGGAUCGGCUAACUCCGUGCCAGCAGCCGCGGUAAUACGGAGGAUCCGAGCGUUAUCCGGAUUUAUUGGGUUUAAAGGGUGCGUAGGCGGGCUGUUAAGUCAGCGGUGAAAGUUUGCGGCUCAACCGUAAAAUUGCCGUUGAAACUGGCGGUCUUGAGUGUAAACGAGGUAGGCGGAAUGUGACGUGUAGCGGUGAAAUGCUUAGAUAUGUCACAGAACUCCGAUUGCGAAGGCAGCUUACCAGGAUACAACUGACGCUGAGGCACGAAAGCGUGGGUAUCAAACAGGAUUAGAUACCCUGGUA
rnacentral:rRNA from 1 species